GCGCCGCUCUUCCCUUGGAACGCAAUGAAUGGGUCGCGGAAGCGGCGGCACGUUCUCCCCGCGUCCCACGACUGCCGCAGUUGCCAAGGAAGGAGGUUAAUGGGCAUGCUGCCAUUCUGACUAGGAACCUUAGCGACCUCCUGAGGCAAUCCUGCCAGUCAGCAAGCGUUUACUGAUGAUGCAAGAAAAAAAAAAAAAAAGGCAAAAAAAAAAAAAAAAAAAAAAAAACUACCGUCCAGGUCUCCAAGAAGUAAUACUCUAAUGGAGAUGUGUACGUACAAGAUGGAGAACAAAGGGAAUGUAGUCUCAGAGAGAAGGGCGCUGGGGAUUGGGGGGAGGGGCGAGAGGGGACCGUGGGAAGGAGGCAUCUUGUAUUGAGAUUUGAGCAAAGAGGAAGAUGUCUGCCCGGCUGAUCCGAGAAUCCCCCUCCGCAGUCUUCCAGGCAGAUGGGCCCACUUACGGAUCUCUCCGAUUUUGGAACAAUGCUAGCGUGUCAUAACAGAUUUACAAAGGAUGUAUGACCACUGACUUGCCACUGUCACGGGACAGAGCUGGGUAAAGUUACUGGGUGCCCCAGGAAGGGAGCAGUUUUAAGGACCCAAAGUGAGGGAGGAAGAGCCUAAAUUCAGGCACAAGGCUUCAUUUUCCAUUCCUCUUGCUCUUGCUUUCAUUUUGGGGAUCUACAUCCACAAAAACUUGCCCCUUCUGCCUAGGGGCAGGGUGAAAUCCAAAUGCUUUCUUGGGAUGAAGGAUAUCUCAUACCUUUAUCUCUUGUUGGAAUAUUACAUAAAUAUAAACUGUAGCGUGAAAUAAUAGAGGGGAAAAACAAAGGAUUUAGAGUGGGAGAUUAGGGUACAAAUUCCAGGUUUGCCCCUUAUUUAAAGUUGUGCUGCUUUCAAAAACUAGUUUUCCCUUUCUGGGAAUUAGAACAUGUAAGACAAUGUGGAAAGUAAGGGAAUUGGUUUGUCCUAAACUUAAAUAUUUCAAAUUUCAAAAGAUGCUUUAUCCCAAGUUUAAUAAGUAAAUGAAGUAUUAUGAGGGAGAUUCUUCCAAAAAAAAGAAUUCUUAUAAGUUUUCAUAAUUUAUUUUAUUGACAUUCGCAUGUUUCAUUUUACAAUUGAAUGGAACAAUAGGAAACUAAAGUGUGGGAGAAGGAAAAUAGAAAAAGAUAGGGGACAUUCACAUAAGAAUACCACUUGGAAUAAAGAAAGUAAAACAGGUCUCUUCAAGAAAUUGUGAGAAACAGAAAAUGGAGAAGUAACAGGAAGAAAAAAUGGAGAAGUAACAGGAAUGAUGUAAAGAUUAUAAAAAGGAAAGAGCAGAAGAAAAAGAAACUCUUAAGAGUCAUAAGAUUAAUAAAAUUUUGGAGGUCAGCUAGUUUCAUCACUGGUCAAAGGAACACCAUGCAGGGAAAUCCAUGCACUUUGAAGGAUGGUCCUUUAAAUCAGAAGGCUACUAGGAUUACUUAAUUGAUAUCAACUGGGGAGAGAUUUUGAUCUACCUGGGAGAAAUCUUGAUAAUGAUGUGUAGCCUUUAAUACUUUAAGGUUUGCAAAA